UUAUAAGUACUAUUCAUCUAUAGGGUUUCUUUAGGGUUCUUUUUCUCAAUUUCUAUAAUUUGCUUCUUCCGCUUAUUUCUAAUACUGCAAAGUAACAGCAGAAAUAAAUGAUCCAUCAUCAAAGCCUAAAGAUGGAUUUAAUGAUGACAACAAUUAUUCAUACAUUGUCACUCAUUCUGGAUAUAGGGCUUUAUAAACCACAAUCAGGACAACAUUCGGAUGUACAAAGUAUUGCACCAAAUGUCAGGAAAUGAGUUGAGGCUUUGCUCCGCAUUCAGACAAAGCAUGAUAAUAUAAAACCAAAGUUUAUUAAAGAGAGAGAAUUUCUUGAAGCCGUCUACAUGACUAAGCAUGAUGAGAUCAAGGUAAAAUUAUGUGAAGAGAGUGCCCUACUUGAAGCCAAGUAUCAGACAAUGUAUGAACCCCUUUACAGUCAGAGAUUUAAUAUUGUCAGUGGGGUGGUCGGGGUCGACGAAGUUACAAAAGAGGUUGAGGCUGAUAAAGCAGUAUGUAUAGCAAGCACUAAAUACUAGCAGCUGAGAAGGGUGUUCCAGAUUUCUGGCUCGAUGUGUUGAAGACAAAUAAAAUUUUAAGGGAGGAGGUAAUUAAUAUGAUUAUCCACUUUUAUCUUUAUUUUGGUAUAAAAUUCUGGUAUUGUGGGUUUCAUCUACUCCUUCUGGAAUGUGGAUCACAGAGCGCGAUGAAGGUGCUCUCAAGUAUCUUAUAGAUAUCAAGUGUUGCCGGAUUGAAGGGCCCAAGGGGUUCAAACUUGAAUAGUUUUUUUUUUGUUUGGUAUCUCCUUUAACCUAAUCUAUUGUUGUAUUUAACUAGAUGGAUUUCUGUGAACAAAAAUUUCUUUUUUCAUUUUUGAUUUAAUGUUAUCGUGCAUGAUCAAAAUGUAAUGUGUGUGUUAUGUUUAGAGUGAUAAAAAGAACAACAUCUUCUGCCACAUGCCCCUGACACGCGUCGCCUUAUGAGACAGCUGAUAGGGUUUUCAAGUUUUUUGUUUUUUUUUGUUUUCAGGGUUCCAAACACACCCUUAAUUAAGGGUGUUACUGAACAGUAAAACUAUUUUUAUCUCUUUUUAAACGCACUCUUAUUUUUUUUCAGUGUGCUAACCACACUCUUACGCAACGGUGUUGUUGGAGUGUAAGUUUUUUUUCCUUCCAGAAAGACACACGUACGCCAGGUUUGCAAAUGAGUCACCUCUCUCUCUCUCUCUCUCUCUCUCUCUCUCUCUCACUUUAUAAGUCACUUUUCAUUAGUUUUUUUUUUAGGUUUCAAUUAUUUUUCUCUCAUUUUCUACGCCUGGCUUCUAUGGCUUCUUUUCAAUUUUGUGGUAUUCACUAGGUCAGUAAUACAGUAAUGGCCGAAAUAAAGGAUUCAUCAUCAAAUUCUGAUUAUAGGGCUUUGCAUGGACAACAUGAUGAUGCAUGUGCAAGUAGCACACCAGAUGUUAGGAAGCGAGUUGAGGCUUUUCUUGACUAAGCAUGAUGAAAUCAAAGCAAAUUUUAUUGAUGAGAGAAAAGUACUUGAAACCAAGUACACGGUAGGGGCACAAAGCUGUUCAUUAGCAUUAUAUUCUUCAGUUACCUUGGGUCUUUGGUUUAACAUUUGAUUUUCUUGAUUGCAGAUUUAACAUGAUGAAACAAAAAGGUUUUUUUUGUUUGAUAUUUUGUUUAACCUAAUCUGUUGUUGUAUUUAACUUGAUGGAUUUCAGUGAAAAAAAAUUCUUUUUCAUUUUUGAUUUAAUCCUACAGUGCAUGAUCAAAAUGUUGGUCAAUCUGUGUGUUAUAUCUAGAGUGCUAGAAAGAACGACAUCUUCUACCUCGUGCCCAUGACACGCCUCUCCUUGUGAGACAACUGAUAGGGUUUUCAAUUUAUUUAUUUAUUUUAUUUAUUUUUAGUGUUUUCAAGGUUCCAAACACACCCUUAAUAAGGGUGUUACUGGAGUGUAACACUAUUUUUUUCUCUUUUUCUUUAAAAGGCAUUCUUAUUUUUUCAGUGUGCCAAACACGCUCUUUAGCAACUGUGUCGUUGGAGUGUAAGUUUUUUUUUCUUUUCAGAAAGACACGCGUAUGCCAGGUUUGCAAAUGAGUCACCCCUCUCUCUCUCACUUUAUAAGUCACUCUUCAUUAGGUUUUCUUUUAGGUUUCAAUUCUUUUUCUCUCACUUUCUACGUCUGGCUUCUUCGGAUUCUUUUCAUUUUUGGGUUAUUCACUAGGUCAGUGAUACAGUAAUGGCCGAACAAAAUGAUUCAUCAUCAAAUUCUGAUUCUGAAGAAGGAUAUAGGGCUUUGCAUUGACAACAUUCUGAUGUAUGUGAAAGUAGCACACCAGAUGUUAGGAACCGAGUUGAGGCUUUGCUUGAUAUUCAGGUAUGUGAAUGCAUUUUUUCAUCUAGCUUGAAUUAAGGGUUCUUGAGUUUUUCUUUUUGAAUUGAUUUUAGGGUUUGUGAGUUUUUGUAUCUGCCUGGGUUUUUGAUUUUAUGCGUGUUUUUAUUUGGGUGAUGAAAACUUCGUACCAGUUAUUUUGUUAUGUUUAUAGUGAAAUCAGUUAUUGAAUAAUGAAUUCUACAUUAACCUAAAACUUAACUGAAGUGAUAAUUAUUUACAUCACCUUGUUGUACAAAAUUUUAAUCCGCAGAUGUUCAUUCUCUCAUAAAAUUUGGCCAAUGCACUCACUACGUAUAAAUGACUGUAGUUUAUUGUACACUAGUACACACAGACCAUCAAUUUUGAACAUAUUAUAAUUGGCCACAUUUGGAGAUACUGGUAGCCUUAAAUGGACUGACAUUCCUGUGUUUUAUGUUUAAUUGGCUUGCUUGAAUUUUUUAAAGUUGGAAUGCCUUUGACCAAUUAUGUUGAUCGAAGAAAUUUGUGAAACAAUUGCGGCAACAUCGUAUCAUUGAUUUUUUUCCUCUUGUUUCCGUCAUGGUAAUUCUAGAAUCCCCUGAUAGAACUUUUAAGUGGGAGUUUUGCUCUCAUUUUCCUAAAGUAAAGUAGGUAUGCCAUUUGUGUGUUCACGAAUCACUUUUUGUUGCUUUUCAGUGGGAGUUAGAUUCCCAUUAUUUCUUUCGGUAAAAGCUAGUUAAGUAUUUUUGUGUUUUUUCAGUUAAGUCCAUCUAAUACUGUUCUCGAUGGGAGUGAGUUAGGUUCAUCUAUAUUUUUGUGUUUUUUUUAGUUACGUCCAUCUAAUAUUGUUCUCAAUGGGAGUGAGUUAGAAUCAUCUAACUUACGUUGUUGGUACAUUUGUUGUCACUUAAAUGCAAAUAGAGUAUU